rnacentral:rRNA from 1 species
CAGCCGCCACGGUAAUACGAGGGGGGCAAGCGUUGUUCGGAAUUAUUGGGCGUAAAGGGCGCGUAGGCGGUUUGACAAGUCUGAUGUGAAAUCUCUGGGCUCAACCCAGAGUCUGCAUCGGAAACUGUCGAGCUUGAGUAUGGGAGAGGUGAGUGGAAUUUCCGGUGUAGCGGUGAAAUGCGUAGAUAUCGGAAGGAACACCUGUGGCGAAAGCGGCUCACUGGACCAUUACUGACGCUGAGGCGCGAAAGCUAGGGGAGCAAACAGGAUUAGAUACCCCCGUAGUCCCUGUCUCUUAUAC